AUUGAACGCUGGCGGCAGGCCUAACACAUGCAAGUCGAACGCGUCGCGGACUGGUGUGUAAUUUCUUGGAAACUGCCUGACGGAGGCGGAUAACUCCUAGAAACGGUAGCUAAUACCGCAUACCAUCAGAUGGUCCCUGAUUGCUUUAGCUAGUUGGUGGGGUAACGGCUAACCAAGGCGACGAUCCCUAGCUGGUCCGAGAGGAUGACCGGCCACACUGGAACUGAGACACGGUCCAGACUCCUACGGGAGGCAGCAGUGGGGAAUAUUGCGCAAUGGGCGCAAGCCUGAUGCAGCCAGGCCGCGUGUAUGAAGAAGGCCUUCGGGUUGUAAAGUCCUUUCAGCAGGGAAGCGUUACCCGAAGAGAAAGCACCGGCUAACUCCGUGCCAGCAGCCGCGGUAAUAG
rnacentral:rRNA from 1 species